AGUAAGCAUAUAUGGAUUACAUGCCUUCAAAAACUAAAACAAAGGAGAUAUGUUGAUAACAUUGUUAUUGUUUUCAUUUUGAGCCAAGUGUUCCUAUUUACGUGUCACAUUAUUAUACACAACCACACUUUCUCUCCGUGUGUCUUUACUCUCUUUUGUUAUUGGUCUCCCUUUCUCUUUCCAAAUAAUUUAUAACCAAUAAAAAAACCUUUAACUUUGCAAACCCACACACACUCACAUUAUCCUUUUCCUUCCACGAUGCUUCCUCUCUCUCUAUAUAUAACCCACCUUGCUCUUCACUCUAUUAAAACUAACUUUGUCUUCAAUUAUCAGUUCCCUCUCAAAUAUUCAAAAUUCUUUUUCCUAUUCACACACCCAUUUAUCUAAGUUUCUCUUCAUUUUCUCAUAAGUUUCUUCUUCCUACAACACGGCAUCACCGAAUUCAGAGAUGUGCGUGUUACUGGUAGAAGCAAGCAGUGGUGCGAGGAAGAGGAACUUAGAUAAAUGUGUGUGUGAAAUAAGAAGAUUGGAAUUUGGUUAUGUCCUUUCUCAAGAUGAUGAGAUGAGACUUACAACCAACCAUGUCAAGACCACCUAUUCUCAUUAAGGGUUUGGUGAAAGGAAAUCAGGUGUGGAAAAUGCUAAUUCGAGUUGUUGACCUUUUGGGUUGCAAAAGAGAAAAGUGGACUGCAGCAUCUUGAAUUGGUCAUACAAGAUACGAAAGUAAUUGUUUCCCGCUCUAUUUGUAUAUAUGUUAUGUUCAUGUCGUUUAAUGAACAACCACAUUAUAGGGUGAUCAAAUCCAUGUGACCACUCGUAACCGAGAAUUUAAAGAUUGGAUUGAACAACUUACCGAGCAUGAAACCUAUUGUCUUUAUAAUGGAGAGCCUAUGGUUAAUGACAACACUUUCAAAGUAUGCCUAAACAAGCUGAAACUUGUAUUCAACGGAGGAACCAUUUUUUCUAAAAUACCAACACCCGUAAUACCGCCACAACAAUUCAAGUUUAAGGCUAUUGAUGAUUUUCUUAGUGGAAAAUUCACCACUGAUCUCUUAUAUGACGUUGUAGGUGUUCUACAAGAUAUUGUCAAAACACAAAUGGGUGGUGGUGGUAAGAAAUAUUGUGCCAAUAUUACUCUACGUGAUGAAGCUGAAAAUGUUAUUGAGCUCGUGUUAUGGGAAGAUUACGCUAAACAAUUCAUGCACUAUAACAACUCUAACAAUUCUCCUAGUCCAACACUACUUAUUUUAACACAUGCCUGGUGAAGCAAAAUCAAGCUUCUGGAUUUCCUAGCCUAUCAAACGCAUGGAAUGGCUCAAGACUUCACAUUAACUUAGACCAUCCACAAGUGCACGCUUUUAAAUCCAAGUAUGAUAUUUUGACAAACACUUUGCACUAUAGCCAUAUUGAACUACUAUGUAGUAUACUUCCAUAUCCUUCAUGUAAUUUACAUUUUCAUAUUGGUACAAACUAGCAUCAACCCAAUUAUCAAUUACAUUGUCUGCUUCUCUCACCCAAGCAUCACAAUCAUUUGUACAAUCUGGAAACAAGAACUGGACAAACCCGAACGAGGUUAAGGUUUGUCAUUGUUUUUGUAAUUACAAAGUUUAUGGAAGUAUUCAUAUAAUUAAUGACAAACUAAGAUCUCAAAAUAGGAUUGUUUUGCCACAACCAUCGACACAACCAAACGAUUUAAGGCCUCCAAUUUUGGAUGGUAUUUUGAGUCUUGUCCGGAUUGCAAGACAUCGAACAAGUCUCAUGGAAACAAGUUCGAGUGUGUUUGCAGAGUUAAAGAUGUUGAGCAUGUUACGAAGCAAGAUUUCAAAUUCAAUUACCAAGUCAUAAUACUUUUUAUUCUUAUUGUUUUGCUUACAUGUACCACUAUAUAUUCAUGUGUUAGAUAUGUCGCGGUGAGAAUCGGAUAUCAAGCUAUUAUAUUAACUUGAAUCAAAAAACAUUGAAUGUUCACCACCGAACGUUAAUUUAUCCAAGGGAAAGGGAAACAAUCGAAUAAAACCCUAAUUUGUGCAAUGUAAAAACAAUGCGAAGAGAUCUAAGGAUCGAUGGUUGGUUAUA